rnacentral:lncRNA from 1 species
ACAUUUGACUCAAACCAGCCUUGUCCAGUUCCUGGAAUUGUGGGCCUGCAAGUUUUGGAGUAGGGUAGAAGUCAGUGAAGAAGAUAUGACACCAGGGACCCCAGUAUACAGGUGAAGCUAUUUGCUCCUAAUGCUAAGCAGAUGUACAUGGUUAAUCACUUGAAAGAGAGCCCAGCAGAAGAGAAGGGACAUGUGCUGGAGGGAAGUGCCAGGAGAGCCCAUGGGGACAUACAAGAUUUGGCAGACCUGUGCUCCAGCAAGCUUGAUGCUGUCAUUAUACUGGUGGUUUUGAGUGGCCCAGAACUGCCCUGUCAACAGUUCUGUAAAGGACUCUUUCAAGUUACAUUUCCCAUGUGCUGGCAGCUAACACCUUCCUGCUUGUGAGGUCACAGUGUGUCAGGGUAAUAAUGUAAUUGGAGUGGGGGAAAAGAAUGAAAAGCUUACUGCUGGCCAAGAGGUUCUACAGUACUUUCCCAUUUUCCUUCCUCCAAAUGAAUAUAAAUGUGACUGCUCUUCUGGUAGCUCAACAAAUGAUCUUUCAUUUUGGGGCUGCCAUAUUUGGUAAUUGACACUGGGUGGGGUGGGAGUGGACAUGGUAAGGGAUGGUUCUUUAAGGUGAGGAGACCAGAUGGCUUUAAAUCAUAGGGAAAAUGUAUUCUUUCAAAAUAUACUGGCCUACUCUGUAAGAAAAAAAUUUCAAUAUAGCCGUUCUUUUGUAUGAUAUCAUUCAGCUGUAUGGAUCAAAUUAUCCUUGCUUUAAUGAUUUCCUAUUGAUCCUAGUACACACAGCCUUCAUUUCU